rnacentral:lncRNA from 1 species
AGUUUAUGCGCCUAUUCAUUUUUAUAUUUACUAAUUCAUUCUCAUUUGAUUAGAAAAUAAAAGUAUCAUAGAAAAACGUGCCUAUAUAUAUAUUUUGGAUUACCUGAGUAAAAAUUAUUAUAUCACAUACACGACAAGAAAUGAAAUUAACUGUGAUGGUUGGGGAAGCGAAAAUAGAAGUUGCUAUUCGUGUUAUAAAAAAAAACUGUUAGAGAAUCUUGAUACUAUCAAUUUUGAUUAUGUAAAAGAAAAAAUGGGUGAAAAAUCAUUUCCAGAUACAUGCAAAGAAGAAAUAGACAGAAAAUUCAAAGAAUUAGGGAUAUUGAAGUUUUUAGUCUUAAAAAUGUUUCAAAAUAGCCAUGAAGACGUGAAGGAUAAUAUAAAAUACAAAUAUCCUUUAAAAAUUGUUAUUACUGGAAAGAUAAAAAAGGGUAUAUAAUAAAUGACAGUAAAUAGCACAUAUUAGUAUUGUGCAGUAGUAAUAUACAGUAGUAGUAAUAUACAAUAGUAGUAUUAUUAAUAUAUCGCAAUAUCAAUGAAAUGUGUUCAACAUGUAUGUGAUAAAUAUAUUUAGUGGUAUGUGGUAGACGUAAACUUAUAAAGAGGGAGAAAAAAAAAAAAAAAAAAAAUUUUGAAGUUGACAACUAUAAGUACUUUAUUUUAUUUUUUUUUGCAGAAACUGAACUUAUAGCUAAGUAUUUAAAAAAAAGAUUUUGUUUAAAGUUAUAUAAUUUUAAUAAUAUACAAAAGGAGCUCCAAGUUAUUUUCAUUAAACAUAACAUCAAAAACGGUAGGACGGAACAAGAAUUAAAAAUAGAAAUAAAAAAAUAAUAGCAUAAAUAUAGAAAUUAAA